GUUACCCUACGGGAGGCAGCAGUGGGGAAUAUUGGGCAAUGGGCGCAAGCCUGACCCAGCAACGCCGCGUGAAGGAAGAAGGCUUUCGGGUUGUAAACUUCUUUUCUCAGGGACGAAGCAAGUGACGGUGCCUGAGGAAUAAGCCACGGCUAACUACGUGCCAGCAGCCGCGGUAAUACGGAGGAUGCGAGCGUUAUCCGGAUUUACUGGGUGUAAAGGGAGCGUAGGUGGCAUGGUAAGCCAGAAGUGAAAACCCGGGGCUCAACCCCGCGGAUUGCUUUUGGAACUAUCAGGCUGGAGUGCUG
rnacentral:rRNA from 1 species